AAUCAACGCUGGCGGCGUGCCUAACACAUGCAAGUCGAGCGCGAAAGGGGAGCAAUCCCCAAGUAGAGCGGCGAACGGGUGAGUAACGCGUGGGUAAUCUGCCUCCGAGUGGGGAACAACACCGGGAAACUGGUGCUAAUACCGCAUGACAUCGUUGGACCUUCGGAUCUGACGAUCAAAGCCGGGGACCGCAAGGCCUGGCGCUUGGAGAGGAGCCCGCGUCCGAUUAGCAGUUGGUAGGGUAAUGGCCUACCAAGGCGACGAUCGGUAGCUGGUCUGAGAGGACGACCAGCCACACUGGGACUGAGACACGGCCCAGACUCCUACGGGAGGCAGCAGUGGGGAAUAUUGGACAAUGGGCGCAAGCCUGAUCCAGCGAUGCCGCGU
rnacentral:rRNA from 1 species